rnacentral:misc_RNA from 1 species
CACUGGAAGAACCCAGGUGAGCUUAUAAUGUACCGAAGGACACAAGACCAGUGCACUCGUCUGCGUUCUGGCUUGUGUUUGUGUUGUCCCGCUGUGGCUUAGAGAAAGAAAAUGAAGCUAACUCUAAUUCUCUUAGCGGCGGUCUUCGCCACCACCUGCGCUCAGGAUUUUUCGGGGUUACAGGCGCUGUUCCAACAAGCAGUCGGGGGGCAGUCGGGAGGAGGCGGGUCGUCGGCGGGGAAGCCGAAUAGACCUAACAGACCGAAUAGGCCUUCUGGAGGUGGAUUCGGUCAGCAGGGAGGUGGAUUUGGACAGCAGGGAGGUGGAUUCGGUCAGCAGGUGGAUUCGGUCAGCAAGGAGGUGGAUUCGGUCAGCAGGGUGGUGGUUUUGGUCAGCAAGGAGGUGGAUUUGGACAAGGUGGCAGUUUUGGCCAAAGCGGAUUUGGACAAGGACAAGGGGGCCAGGACUGCAAAUUAUACUGCAGGAGAGGAAAUGGCUAUGUAUGCUGCUAAAGAAAAAAAAAAAUGAAAAAAGAGAGAGAGAGAGAAAAUAAAACUUCCGGCGAAUCUGAUGAUUUCAACAAACUUCAGACGUAAAAUAAAAAUGACCUGAGUUUGAUUGGAACAACUUGGCAGAUAGAUUAACAUGUGGCUAAACCUUUUGACGCUGUAAUCCUAAAUUCUUUGGAGAAGUGCUAACGUUUGUGUGAUGUGUUUACGUUUUGAGAGAUAACACCGAAAUUGUAUGUAAUCAUUUAUUGACUGUAACGGGAAAAAAAUAUAUUUGGCAUAUAGCUUACUAAA